CAGAACGUUCUGUGGUGCACAGGGGCUGUUUCUCAUAUGGACAAAGUGGGCAAUUGCCCAGGGCAGCAUUUCAUGAGGGGCGCC